GCGCCCAUAGCUCAGCUGGAUAGAGCAACGGACUUCUAAUCCGUAGGUCGGUGGUUCGAAUCCACCUGGGCGUGCCU
rnacentral:tRNA from 7 species